rnacentral:rRNA from 1 species
GACGUAGGUCGCAAACGUUAUCCGGAAUUAUUGGGCCUAAAGCAUCCGUAGCCGGUUCUACAAGUCUUCCGUUAAAUCCACCUGCUUAACAGAUGGGCUGCGGAGGAUACUAUGGAGCUAGGAGGCGGGAGAGGCAAGCGGUACUUAGUGGGUAGGGGUAAAAUCCGUUGAUCCAUUGAAGACCACCAGUGGCGAAGGCGGCUUGCCAGAACGCACUCGACGGUGAGGGAUGAAAGCUGGGGGAGCAAACCGG